rnacentral:rRNA from 1 species
UUGCUUUGGCUGCNAGGAACUUCCUUCGUAGCGCAAAGCGUCGCCGGUCGUCCGCGUGCCGUCCGCAGCCUUUGGCGUNAGGACAAAACAGGUUUCUAGGUAUUGUGAUAAGGUAUCUUACUUUNNAAUACAUAGGGGUAAGAAGCNAACGCAGGGAACUNAAACAUCUAAGUACCUGCAGGAAAGGACAUCAACCGAGACUCCGCAAG